ensembl:lncRNA
ACUCCACAGCUAUCAGUAGUUUAAUCUGUUUAUACUCAACAGCUAUCAGUAGUUUAAUCUGUUUAUACUCAACAGCUAUCAGUAGUUUAGAUGUUUAGUGUUUAAUCUGUUUAAUCUGUUUAUUCUCCACAGCUAUCAGUAGUUUAAUCUGUUUAUACUCAACAGCUAUCAGUAGUUUAUGUGUUUAGUGUUUAAUCUGUUUAUACUCAACAGCUAUCAGCAGUUUAGUGUUUAGUCUGUUUGUACUCAACAGCUAUCAGUAGUUUAGUGUUUAGUCUGUUUGUACUCCACAGCUAUCCCGACUUUGUUUGUACCAGGCGUCUUUUUACAGAGGUGUAGCAUUACGCCCCUGUUAAUCUCACCUGUUAAUCUCACCGUCAUCUUUUUACAGAGGUGUAGAGAGAGACCUGUUAAUCUCACCGUCAUCUUUUUACAGAGAUGUAGCAUUACGCUCCUGUUAAUCUCACCGUCAUCUUUUUACAGAGGUGUAGAGAGAGACCUGUUAAUCUCACCGUCAUCUUUUUACAGAGCUGUAGCAUAAUGCACCUGUUAAUCUCACCGUCAUCUUUUUACAGAGGUACCUGUUAAUCUCACCGUCAUCUUUUUACAGAGGUGUAGCAUUCAGUGUUGUGCAUGAACGCGUUCAAAAGAACACGUUCAUUUUUAUGAGAACGAUGAACUGAACGCAACUUCAUGACAAAUAAUGAAUUUGAACGGUGAACACGUUCAUAUUAUCUGAGGUCCAGCGCCACUGAGGUCUAGCUAAAACAUUACGGAAUGUUUUCCUUCUACUGAGGAAAGACGCUGUCUAAAUCGAAUGCUUGUACCAUGUCGUUGCUCAGUACCUAAAAAGGCCAUAGUAAUUAUUUGUUAAAUUGCCCAGACAGACC